rnacentral:lncRNA from 1 species
GCUUUCUAUCCCGUGCCGUGGAUGUGGCCUCCUGGGGGCCCGUCUGUGCCAAGUGGACCUCCUCCCCAAGUCCAGUCUCACAGAGACGACAGAUGGAAAACCACAGUUUAGAAUAAUAAGCCUGAUGAGGAGAAAGCCUGGAAAUGGGGCGGCCUCCCUCUGCCUGGACAAUCGGGGAAGACUGAGGAAGGGAAAGAUCCGUGCCCGUAACGGCCCCUGGAGCCCAGGCUCAGGGCUGCUGCAGGUACUGGAGCACCAUCUCUGAGAUCUGCUCGAAGCUGAACGUGCACUCUGUGAGUAGCUGGCAACACCCUGGGUGUGGGCAGGCACGGCCUGGCAGUCUCAGGCCGGAGGCACUCAUGGUUCUCUCUCUUUUCGCCCUGCAGACACCUGAAGACAUGAAUCUGCGGCUGGAGCUGCAGAAUGAUAGCCUUCUGAUGGCUAACCUGGCUGCCUUCCGGAACAUCUCAAAGGAGAUCGUCAGUGCUUCUAAUGAGUCUUUAUUCAUCAGUAAAAAUCUGGAGGAUCUGGAGGUGUGUGAGGUUGGGGAGAGUCUCUCUGGCACUGGGUCUCCAGGACCCCAAAGGAGGCCACUCCUGGUGGGAGUACAUGGCCUUUUCUUGCCCUUUUCUCAAAGAGCAGCAGCAUUUUCACCCCCACCCCCGAGUUCCUACCCCCUCUCCUGCCACCUGCCCCUCCAUGGCUGGGGACAGAGCUGCCACCUAGUCCCUUCUUGGGUAUAGUAACUGGCAGGGGGACACAGAGGCCCUUCAGCUCCUAGUGAGACCCCUGUUGCCUUCCAGGCUUUCCCCAAAGUCCUGACUAACUGACUCUUCUUGUCUCUGGUCCACAGAAAUUCCUGCAAACCUUGCCCAUGCCCAUAUCCCAGGUAAGCUGCCCAGACUGAGCAUAGAACCUGCCACAUCCCUCUACCUCCUUCUCACCUGACCCAAAAUUUUCAUUUCUUCAAAGAGAGAAGUGUACAUCGAAGCAGAAGAUUUUAAUGAGUUCUCGGGGAAGCUGAAAGUCUUUCUGGAAGCCCUGGAUGAGUUCCUGUUGGGCUUACUGAAGUGCCCAGAAACUUUCAAAGCCUCGUGUAGAAAAUCUUAGUCCAGGCCUUUGCAUGCCCAGGGCUCUGAGUUGGGUCUCCAGCCCUCCUCCUUGAUACUCCAGUGAAAGCUCCACUCUGUCACAGAUCACAUUGACAAUCCUAUUUAUGUAACAAUUUAUUUAUUGUCCUCCCUAUUAUGGAGUUAUUUAUUUUAAUAAUGGAGCCCUCUUAGGAGCCUCUGAGCAAAGCUCAGAGAGGAUGUGAAGCCAUUUUCAUUUGUACCUCAGAUUUCA